rnacentral:tRNA from 2 species
GGGCGCGUAGCUCAGCUGGUUAGAGCGCCUGCUUCACACGCAGGAGGUCAUAGGUUCGAGUCCUGUCGCGCCCACCA